AGAACAUAGUGGCUCUUGUGGGUGAUGCAGCUGAUAGGGUGUUUCAUGGACCAUGUGGAAACCCCUUUUAGAAAUACUUGGGAGAGAGGGGAGGGACUUAAAGGGAAGGCCUGAGUUCCUUCUGUGUGUGUAUGUUUGUGUGUAUGUGUGUGUGUCUGUGUGAAUGCAAGGGGGGUGGGGUGGCAGUUCAUGCAUGACCUUGUAGUUUCGGCACAAUUGUAAAGAAAUCUCAUUUUUGGGAUGCCUGGGUGGCUCAGAGGUUGAGCAUCUGCCUUUGGCUCAGUGUGUGAUCCCAGGAUCCGGGAUCGAGUCCCACGUCGGGCUCCCUGCAUGGAGCCUGCUUCUCUCUCUGCCUGUGUCUCCGCCUCUCUCUCUCUCUGUGUCUCUCAUGAAUAAAUGAAUAAAAUCUUAAAAAAAAAAUAGAAAUUCUCAUUUUCUAGUUAUAGGCUGGAGGCCUGGUGUUUGAACUGGACAACCUGAUGUCAAGGAAACACAAAGAAAUAUCCUGGUUUAAGACCCUUCCCAAGACCUUCAGACCCCUAUCCUCUAUUUCCAGCUGGAUGGAGCCUUGUAUGACAGGUUGUAUUUUCCAAAGAUGGUUGCCACGAGAUCUCCUGCUCUACAUGCUCUUCUUAUAAGGUGCUUUUAAACUCCUCCUAUCAAGAGGUAGAUACUAUGCUUUUCCCUUUGAAUCUGGGCGGGCUUAUGACAUUGGAAUAAGUGAUGUUAUUAAAAUUCUGAGGCUAAGUCACUGAAGAUAAUACAGUAAACAGGGACUCAAAUAGAUAUUUACACACUCAAGCUCACAACAGCAUUAUCUGCAAUAGCCAAGAGGAGGAAGCAACUAAAAUGUCAACUAAUAAACAGAAUGUGGCAUAUACA
rnacentral:lncRNA from 1 species